AUGGGAAGCAAUAUCUGGAGAAUAUGCCGGGUGUGGCAGGACUUUCUAUUGCAAUACCAUUUAAAGUUUUCCGGCUCGUCAAUGCAACAUGGGAUAUGGCAUUGUUGUGUAGAAGAAUCACUUUGUUUUACUUCGUCGCAAAAUAUAGCCGUUUCUCGAUCAAUUGCUCAUACAACUGCCUCAAUUGUCGACUAUAUAAUUCUGCGAUGAUAGUCUAAGAUGGUUUUAACAGCUCAUAAUGCAGUACUCUUUGCAUGUCCCGCUAGAUACAUCGGAGGACUUUACGACAAUGGAUAUUUCAUUUUGGCUGUGACAUAAAGGUUCUCCGGAAUUUACCCACGAUCUUUUGCUGUUGGAAUUGUCAUAAUAAAUUCAUUUUUCGCCUCCGGUCACAAUUCGAUACAAAAGAGAUUUGUGUUUGCGUCUAUUGAGCGGCGAAAAGCAAAUGGUGACUCGGCUGGUAAUAGCGUUCUCGCAAUAAUUCAUGGGGGAUCCAUUUUUCUCCGUUCAGAGUUUUCCCCAUCUCAUCUGCACUGCUGAACUGGUGCAAUAACCCGAGCAGUAAUCAAAUACGGCAAUUUUUAUGCCUGAUAUGGCAUGUCUAGAUUAUACACCCACCAGCAAUGACGUCAUUAUUUGGAUGCCUGAUUUGGUCCCGAUGGACAUUUGAUCAGGUUUCUCGAUUUCAGGCAAUUUUAUCAGGGCAUUAUGUAGCAGUGCGUUUCACUCCUUAUUACAUGCUGGAUCCGAUAAAGUUAUCCGGGCCUUAUUUGAAAUUUGGAAACCGGACUGGGUUUUAAUACGACUGUGGGACGAUGUUCUGCUCGGGAAGUUAAGGUGAGAAAAAAUAUAUUGGGUUAUCGGAAAAAUCAUGACGCGCACCUUUGCAACAGAUGACGCUAGUUCAUUUUUGAAAGUACUAGAGUCAUUCGCAUCUAUGUUAUUGCUAUGUCAUUUGACAGCUGAUAGUUCUAGCUUCAUUCUAAAAAAAAAAAAAAUUGAGCGAUUUGGUUGAAUUUUAGAGAUUUUACAACAAGUUGAAGAUGGAAGACCAAACUGUAAAUUUUCGCCAUAUUUUACUGUUUUCUGUAAAGGGAAGAACGCGCGUUAAGCUUGUGAAAAGUUGCGUAAAGUUUACGGUGACAAUACUUUACAAGAACAUCAGUGCCAAUAAUGGUUCACGAAAUUCCGUGCUGAUGGUUUUGAUCUCAACGACGCUCCUUGGUCAGGGAGGCCCACCGAGGUUGAUGUCGAUAAAAUAAAGGCAUUGAUCGAGUCAAACUCACGUUACACGACACGAGAGAUUGCAGAAACAUUAAACAUCCAUCAUUCAAGCGUUCACGACCACCUGAAGAAGCUGGGAUACGUAAGCUGGGAUAAGCAAGCUCGAUAUUUGGGUUGCCCUGAACUCACAGAAGUUCAUUUGACGGCGUGUAUAAACAUCUGCGAUAUGCUCAUUAAAUGUAAGGAAAACGAUCCUUUUUUGAAGAGAAUGAUAACUGGUGAUGAGAAGUGGAUUGUUUACAACAAUGUGGAGCAAACGGUCUUGGUCCCGACGUGAUGAUUCGCCUCAAACGACAUCGAAAGCAGACAUUCAUCAAAGAAUGGUUAUGUUCUCAGUGUGGUGGGAAGUUUUUAAGGUUUCGUGUUCUUCGAACUCCUACCAAGGAACCAAACAAUCAAUUCGAAUGUGUGCUGUCGGCAAUUGGACAGUUUGAACGAAUCCAUCAUCUAGAAAUGUCCAGAGCUCGUUAAUCGUAAAGGAGUUGUGUUUCAUCAUCACGACACGCGAGACCACAUAUAAGUUUGAUCAUCCGUCAAAAAUUACUGAAGCUUGGAUGAGAUGUGUUGCUACAUCCACUCCACAUACUCGUUUGUCCUUGCGCCGUCAGACUUCUACUUGUUUCGCUCUCUUCAAAACUCCUUGCGUUUUGAAUAACGUUAAAUUCAGAUGAAGCUGUAAAUCAGCACUUUGUUCAGUUUUUCACCGAUAAAGACAGAUCCUUCUAUGUUUUUUUAAACAAAGAAUU